GUCCCCGUAGUUCAAUGGAUAGAACGGGUCUCUCCUAAAGACUAGAUGCAGGUUCGAUUCCUGCCGGGGACGCCA
rnacentral:tRNA from 80 species